rnacentral:misc_RNA from 1 species
GAUGAAGAAACGCAGUGAAAUGCGAUAAGUAAUGUGAAUUGCAGAAUUCAGUGAAUCAUCGAAUCUUUGAACGCACAUUGCGCCCCUUGGUAUUCCGAGGGGCAUGCCUGUUCGAGCGUCAUUAUAACCCCUCAAGCUCAGCUUGGUGUUGGGGCCUGCUGCACUGGCAGCCCUUAAAAUCAGUGGCGGCGCCAUCUGGCUCUAAGCGUAGUAAUUCUUCUCGCUAUGGAGUCCUGGUGGAUGCUUGCCAUCAACCCCCAAUUUUUCUAUGGUUGACCUCGGAUCAGGUAGGGAUACCCGCUGAACUUAAGCAUAUCAAUAAGCGGAGGA